rnacentral:rRNA from 1 species
CCUACGGGAGGCAGCAGUGAGGAAUAUUGGUCAAUGGCCGGAAGGCUGAACCAGCCAAGUCGCGUGAGGGACGACUGCCCUAUGGGUUGUAAACCUUUUUUAUAAGGGAAGAAUAAAUGCUACGUGUAGCAUGAUGCCUGUACCUUAUGAAUACGCAUCGGCUAAUUCCGUGCCAGCAGCCGCGGUAGUACGGGGGGUGCGAGCGUUAUCUGGUUUUAUUGGGUUAAAAGGGUGCGUAGGGGGAUUUUUAAGUUAGCGGUAAAAUCGUGGGGUUAAACCGCAUACAGACGUGGAAACUGGGGAUCUAGAGUGUGCGAGAGGUGUGCGGAAUGCGUGGUGUAGCGGUGAAAUGCAUAGAUAUCACGCAGAACCCCGAUUGCGAAGGCAGCAUACCGGUGCACAACUGACGCUCAGGCACGAAAGCGUGGGUAGCGAACAGGAUUAGAUACCCUGGUAGUC